GACGAACGCUGGCGGCGUGCUUAACACAUGCAAGUCGAACGAUGAACCCGGAGCUUGCUCCGGUGGAUUAGUGGCGAACGGGUGAGUAACACGUGAGUAACCUGCCCUUGACUCUGGGAUAACUGCGGGAAACUGUAGCUAAUACCGGAUACGACCCUCGGCGGCAUCGCCAGGGGGUGGAAAGAAUUUCCGUCAAGGAUGGACCCGCGGCCUAUCAGCUAGUUGGUGAGGUAACGGCGCACCAAGGCGACGACGGGUAGCCGGCCUGAGAGGGUGACCGGCCACACUGGGACUGAGACACGGCCCAGACUCCUACGGGAGGCAGCAGUGGGGAAUAUUGCACAAUGGGCGCAAGCCUGAUGCAGCAACGCCGCGUGAGGGAUGACGGCCUUCGGGUUGUAAACCUCUUUUAGUAGGGAAGAAGCGAAAGUGACGGUACCUGCAGAAAAAGCACCGGCUAACUACGUGCCAGCCGCCGCAGUAA
rnacentral:rRNA from 1 species